UACGUAGGGUGCAAGCGUUGUCCGGAAUUAUUGGGCGUAAAGAGCUCGUAGGCGGUUUGUCGCGUCUGCUGUGAAAACUCAGGGCUUAACCCUGAGCCUGCUUCCGAUACGGGCAGACUAGAGGUAUGCAGGGGAGAACGGAAUUCCUGGUGUAGCGGUGGAAUGCGCAGAUAUCAGGAGGAACACCGGUGGCGAAGGCGGUUCUCUGGGCAUUACCUGACGCUGAGGAGCGAAAGUGUGGGGAGCGAACAGG
rnacentral:rRNA from 1 species